CAGAGAACUCCUUGCUCGUGUGUUGUAAGAGCUAACGUGUGGAAAUUGGUUUUCUUCUAUUGAUACAAUUGUUGCUUGAUACUGAAGUGCCGAGUGCCCACGGAAGCCUCUGGAAACCCCGUAGCCUUGUUAGCACAUUGUGCCCUGUAUCGGUCAGGUUUUAUGAUUGAUCAAAGUUCGAAUUGCAGACGUGCAAGGGAAGAACGGAUCAAGAUUUCCAGUACUGGAUGGCGAGCCCCAGCCCAAAGAGUCAAAUGAAUUGGUAGCUUGUAGCCCGACUGGUUACAAACACAUUGAACACUGAACGAACCUCUGGAAAAAAAAAAAAAAAAAAACACUUAUCAGACUACAACAGGCACUGAAAAAAGACUAAAGGACUAUACCCGCGUAUAUUUUAUUUUAUUUUGGGUAAAGAGCGCUCUCAUUUAUUUUUUUGCCAUUGUAUUGUUAGUUCACAUGAGUUCAUUGACAAUCAAUUCUAUAUAAAUAAUUCUUCACUUUAAAUCAAAGUGUUGUUUAUGUCAUGUUGAU